rnacentral:lncRNA from 1 species
UCCUUGGCUUCCUGUACAUAGGUGCCUGUGUGUCUGUCUUCAUGUGGGCACUGCAGCUUUGUUUGCAUCUGGACAACUGGGUG